UACGGGGGGGGCAAGCGUUGUUCGGAAUUACUGGGCGUAAAGGGCUCGUAGGUGGCCAACUAAGUCAGACGUGAAAUCCCUCGGCUUAACCGGGGAACUGCGUCUGAUACUGGAUGGCUUGAGUUUGGGAGAGGGAUGCGGAAUUCCAGGUGUAGCGGUGAAAUGCGUAGAUAUCUGGAGGAACACCGGUGGCGAAGGCGGCGUUCUGGACUGUUUCUGACACUGAUAGACGAAAGCGUGGGUAGCAAACAGG
rnacentral:rRNA from 1 species